ensembl:lncRNA
AACAAAUCAUCCACAGGCAGAGAGAAUGAGUAGACAGUUGUUUUAGUUCAAUAUUGUCAGACACAGACAGACAAGUCAAUGGAGAAUUCUGACAUAUCAGAACAUGUGUUGAAAGGAUUCAAGGGAACAUAUAAUGAGCUGAUAUGUCAGGAUGAUUUCAGCACAGAUGGACAUCCUCUCCAUAACAGACAAGACCAACAACAAGUGUCCAUGUUCAUGGUGAGAGAUGGGCAGAGUUCUCGAUUCUACUGAUUGGUUGCAGUGAGUCUGGGCAUUCUCAGUGCUCUUCUACUGGUCAUUGAUAUUGGUCUGGUGGUCCAAUACAGCAAAGUCAGUGAGAAUGACAGUCCACUAUUUCAGAAUUUGACACAGAGCAGCAGUGAGCUGGAGCAACUCAGAGCCACCCAC